UGCCAGCCGCCGCAGUAAUACGGAGGGUGCAAGCGUUGUCCGGAAUCACUGGGUGUAAAGGGUGUGUAGGCGGGGCUGUAAGUUAGAGGUGAAAUCCUACGGCUUAACCGUAGAACUGCCUUUAAUACUGCAGCUCUUGAAUCUCGGAGAGGUCACUAGAAUUCGUGGUGUAGCGGUGAAAUGCGUAGAUAUCACGAGGAAUACCAGAUGCGUAGGCGGGUGACUGGACGAGUAUUGACGCUGAGGCACGAAAGCGUGGGGAGCAAACAGGAUUAGAUA
rnacentral:rRNA from 1 species